ensembl:lncRNA
GUGGGGACAGUAACCAGCAGGUAGCCUAGUGGUUAGAGCGUGGGGACAGUAACCAGCAGGUAGCCUAGUGGUUAGAGCGUGGGGACAGUAACCAGCAGGUAGCCUAGUGGUUAGAGCGUGGGGACAGUAACCAGCGUGGGGACCAGGUCAAAAUCUGUCGUUCUGCCCCUGAGCAAGGCACUGUUCCCCAGGUGCCGAAGACGUGGAUGUCUACUAUGGCAGCCCCCUCACACCUCUGAUUCAGAGGGGUUGGGUUGAAUGCGGAAAACAUAUUUCACUUGAAUACAUUGUUGGGCAACUGUCUAGGUAUCCCCCCCUUUCCCAAAAUGUGUAGAAUUGCAGCAAACUAUCUUUAAAAAAAGCAACAUUUUGUCUCAUUCUGAAUGCAACCUCCCAGAAUAGAGCCGACAAUAUCCUCCUUCAUGCUGUUGAUCAGAUACAUUCUACAGAGCUGUGUCCACGGAAGUGAGGAGGCUGGUAAAACCAAUAACUCAACAUGUGAACUCAUUCAAACACUGCAUGCUGGCAGUGCGAAGACCAUUUUUGUUGUGUGCUUUACCCCGUUAUACAAUCAAAUCUGCAUAUGGAGGCUAAGGCCUCUGAGUGACUUGGCUGAAAAAGAAAGUGGAAGCUUGUGAGACGUUCUUUAAUCGAAGUGUAAAUCACGAACGCUGCAGUAGGGAUUCUAUUGAUUGCCUCGGCUCCCUUUGUCUAUCUGAGGCUGUGUUAGCAGGAGGCAGACUGCUCAUAAUGAUUUCCACUAAGGCUGUGUCUGUCUCCUGCCUGAGAGAAAUGGCGAGAAAGGGGUGGCGAGAGGCCAUCUGGUGGUAAAGGCCAGCAGCGCUAGCUAGCUACUGUCUGUAGCUAGCUCUUUUUGUUCUUUACACAAGUUCAAUGAUGACUCAGAAACCAAUCCAGCAUUAAUCUGUUGCUAUGACAUUAACCCUCGCUCGUUGCUGCCACUAUAGAGAGGUCGGAGUAGACCGCUGUACAAACGCUGGAGGGAGGGAAAGUAAUAACAUGUUAUUAGGUGCGGCAGGUAGCCUAGUGGUUAGAGCGUUGGGACAGUAACCAGCAGGUAGCCUAGUGGUUAGAGCGUUGGGACAGUAACCAGCAGGUAGCCUAGUGGUUAGAGCGUUGGGACAGUAACCAGCAGGUAGCCUAGUGGUUAGAGCGUUGGGACAGUAACCAGCAGGUAGCCUAGUGGUUAGAGCGUUGGGACAGUAACCAGCAGGUAGCCUAGUGGUUAGAGCGUUGGGACAGUAACCGAAAGGUUGCUAGAUCGAAUCCCCGAGCUGACAAGGUAAA